CGAACGGGAGGCGAGGCGCAAGCCUUGCUGAGAGUGGCGAAUGGGUCGCAACACGUAGGCGACCUGCCCUUAAAUGGGGGAUAACGGUCCGAAAGGAUCGCUAAUACCGUAUGUGGUCAUGAUGUCAUAAUCAUGACUAAACUAGCGCAAGCUGGAUUUAAGGAGGGGCCUGCGGCCCAUCAGCUAGUUGGUAAGGUAACGGCUUACCAAGGCGACGACGGGUAGGGGGCCUGAGAGGGUGACCCCCCACACUGGCACUGACACACGGGCCAGACUCCUACGGGAGGCAGCAGUGAGGAAUAUUGCUCAAUGGACGAAAGUCUGAAGCAGCAACGCCGCGUGAGCGAUGAAGGCCUUCGGGUCGUAAAGCUCUUUUCCCAAGGAAGAGGAAGGACGGUACUUGGGGAAUAAGUCACGGCUAACUACGUGCCAGCAGCCGCGGUAAAACGUAGGUGGCAAGCGUUAUCCGGAUUCACUGGGCGUAAAGGGCACGCAGGCGGCCCUGCAGGUAGGGCAUGAAAUCUCCCGGCUUAACUGGGAGGGGCUGUCCUAAACCGCGGGGCUUGAGGGCGGGAGAGGAAAGUGGAAUUGCCGGUGUAGUGGUGAAAUGCGUAGAGAUCGGCAGGAACACCAGUGGCGAAGGCGACUUUCUGGUCCGCCCCUGACGCUCAUGUGCGAAAGCUAGGGUAGCGAACGGGAUUAGAAACCCCGGUAGUCCUAGCCGUAAACGAUGUAUACUAGGUGUCGGUGGUAUUGACCCCAUCGGUGCCGAAGCAAACGCGUUAAGUAUACCGCCUGGGGACUACGGCCGCAAGGUUAAAACUCAAAGGAAUUGACGGGGGCCCGCACAAGCAGCGGAGCGUGUGGUUUAAUUCGACGAUACACGAAGAACCUUACCAGGGUUUGACAUGCAAGUAGUAGUGAAGCGAAAGCAGAACGACCCUUCGGGGAGCUUGCACAGGUGCUGCAUGGCUGUCGUCAGCUCGUGCCGUGAGGAGUUAGGUUAAGCCCUAGAACGAGCGCAGCCCUUACUGCCAGUUACAAGUGUCUGGCGGUACUGCCGGUCAUAAGCCGGAGGAAGGUGGGGAUGACGUCAAGUCAGCAUGGCCUUUAUAUCCUGGGCUACACACACGCUACAAUGGCUGGUGCAAUGGGUAGCUAAACCGCGAGGUGGAGCCAAUCCCACAAAACCAGCCUCAGUUCGGGUUGUAGGCUGCAACCCGCCUACAUGAAGUUGGAGUUGCUAGUAAACGCGCGUCAGCUAUAGUGCGUUGAAUACGUUCCCGGGCCUUGUACACACCGCCCGUCACGUCAUGGGAGCUGGCAACACCUGAAGCCGGUGGGCUAACCGCAAGGAAGUAGCCGUCGAAGGUGGGGCUGGUGACU
rnacentral:rRNA from 1 species